GAUGAACGCUAGCGGCAGGCUUAACACAUGCAAGUCGAGGGGUAGAAGGAGCUUGCUCCUUUGAGACCGGCGCACGGGUGCGUAACGCGUAUGCAAUCUACCUUAUACAGGGGGAUAGCCCAGAGAAAUUUGGAUUAAUACACCAUAGUAUUACGAAAAGGCAUCUUUUUGUAAUUAAAGUUCCAACGGUAUAAGAUGAGCAUGCGUCCCAUUAGCUAGUUGGUGGGGUAACGGCACACCAAGGCAACGAUGGGUAGGGGUCCUGAGAGGGAGAUCCCCCACACUGGUACUGAGACGCGGACCAGACUCCUACGGGAGGCAGCAGUGAGGAAUAUUGGUCAAUGGGCGCAAGCCUGAACCAGCCAUGCCGCGUGCAGGAUGACGGUCCUAUGGAUUGUAAACUGCUUUUGUACAGGAAGAAACACUCCCUCGUGAGGGAGCUUGACGGUACUGUAAGAAUAAGGAUCGGCUAACUCCGUGCCAGCCGCCGCCGUAAAAC
rnacentral:rRNA from 1 species